UGCAGGCCGCUACUUGUCAUGGUGUUCGGAGCUUGCAUUUAACUGAUUUUACAUUGAGACGAGUGGCGAACUGGUGAGUAACACGUGGGUAACCUGCCCUGAAGUGGGGGAUAACACUUGGAAACAGGUGCUAAUACCGCAUAACAACGAAAACCACAUGGUUUUCGUUUGAAAGAUGGCUUCGGCUGUCACUUUUGGAUGGACCCGCGGCGUAUUAGCUUGUUGGUGAGGUAACGGCUCACCAAGGCCAUGAUACGUAGCCGACCUGAGAGGGUAAUCGGCCACAUUGGGACUGAGACACGGCCCAAACUCCUACGGGAGGCAGCAGUAGGGAAUCUUCCACAAUGGACGAAAGUCUGAUGGAGCAACGCCGCGUGAGUGAUGAAGGGUUUCGGCUCGUAAAACUCUGUUGUUGGAGAAGAACAGGUGAUAGAGUAACUGUUAUCAUCUUGACGGUAUCCAACCAGAAAGCCACGGCUAACUACGUGCCAGCAGCCGCGGUAAUACGUAGGUGGCAAGCGUUGUCCGGAUUUAUUGGGCGUAAAGCGAGCGCAGGCGGUUUUUUAGGUCUGAUGUGAAAGCCUUCGGCUUAACCGGAGAAGGGCAUCGGAAACCGGGAGACUUGAGUGCAGAAGAGGACAGUGGAACUCCAUGUGUAGCGGUGAAAUGCGUAGAUAUAUGGAAGAACACCAGUGGCGAANGCGGCUGUCUGGUCUGUAACUGACGCUGAGCUCGAAAGCAUGGGUAGCGAACAGGAUUAGAUACCCUGGUAGUCCAUGCCGUAAACGAUGAGUGCUAAGUGUUGGAGGGUUUCCGCCCUUCAGUGCUGCAGCUAACGCAUUAAGCACUCCGCCUGGGGAGUACGACCGCAAGGUUGAAACUCAAAGGAAUUGACGGGGGCCCGCACAAGCGGUGGACAUGUGGUUUAAUUCGAUGCUACCGAAGAACUUACCAGGUCUUGACUCCUUCUGCUAACUAAAAUUAGUUCCCCGGGAGA
rnacentral:rRNA from 1 species